GCAUGGGUGGUUCAGUGGUAGAAUUUUUGCCUGCCACACAGGAGGCCUGGGUUCAAUUUCCAGCCCAUGAA
rfam:Dipodomys ordii contig_60181, whole genome shotgun sequence.